rnacentral:rRNA from 1 species
CCAAUAGCGUAUAUUAAAGUUGUUGCAGUUAAAAAGCUCGUAGUUGAAUUUCGGGGUCAGUAGGUCGGUCGUGCCACUGGUAUGAACUGGUUUUACUGAUUCCUCCCUCUUGAAGAACUGUAAUGCCAUUAAUUUGGUGUUGCAGGGAAUCAGGACUGUUACUUUGAAAAAAUUAGAGUGUUUAAAGCAGGCUUUAGCUUGAAUACAUUAGCAUGGAAUAAUGAAAUAGGACGUUUGAUCCUAUUUUGUUGGUUUCUAGGAUUGACGUAAUGAUUAAUAGGGAUAGUUGGGGGCAUUAGUAUUCAAUUGUCAGAGGUGAAAUUCUUGGAUUUAUUGAAGACUAACUACUGCGAAAGCAUUUGCCAAGGAUGUUUUCAUUAAUCAAGAACGAAAGUUAGGGGAUCGAAGACGAUCAGAUACCGUCGUAGUCUUAACCAUAAACUAUGCCGACUAGGGAUCGGAUGAUGUUAAUUUUUUAAUGACUCAUUCGGCGCCUUACGGGAAACCAAAGUGUUUGGNUUC